rnacentral:lncRNA from 1 species
CCUUUGGCUGCUCACCCCGAUUAUGUGCUUAAGUUCUUUGUUCGCAUAAGAGCAUAAUAAUGUCAAAAGAGUAUGUGGAGAUCUCUAGAAAGAAGACUAAGAAGGACCUAAGCUCCAGCAUUUCAAUUCAGGAAGGUGGUGAAUAUGAAGAAUAACAAGGAGUGGAUGCCUACACAUGAAGAGAUGGGAUACCUUGAAUUGAGGCAAAGAUUGAAGGCAUCGGCUAGAAAGAAGACUAAGAAGGACCUAAGCUCCAGCAUCUGAAAUUCAUGGGAGA